UCUCUCUUCUGCUCCUCCAUUCUACACAUGCUCAUUGAAUAAUACAUGUCAGGUUCCAAUAAUGAUGCCGUUGCUCGGAGUGCAUCGAAAGUGGAAGCAAAGCCCCGUGUCCAGUAUUGAUUGUGAUGAUUGGUGAGUGACAUAAGUGAGGGGGGAAAAAAACGUAUGGCCAGAGAAUCAUUCACGUCCAAUUUUAGUUCAAAUAAAGUGAGACUGAAGGUUUAAUAUUGAUUACUCUAAUUUUAAAGUCUUCUGAAAACCUUCUGACGAAUUUGCUUCUUUUAACACUGUUCAUCUUAAACAUUUAGUUUUUUCAUGUAUUUUACUUGUCACGAUGUUAGAUUUGAUUUGUCAGCGGUAUAAUUGAAUGUUUUUGCAGUGACAACAAAACCCCUGUAUAUUGGAAUGAAUUUCCACGCCAAUGUCUCCCUGUUAAGUGAGCAGCAAUUGUCCACAGCAAUAGUCAACUAAAUUGCGAAAUGAACUCAUUCACUACCAAUGAUGUGUGUGUGUCUUUGGGUGUGACUGUGGAUACAGCACCAAUUUGUGUAUUUCAGUGUUAUCAAGAUUGUGUUGACUGAGUAUAUCCAAUCUGUCCAAUAACAUUGCGAUCGAUUUAGCACAUAUCCAAUUAGGGCUGAACAAUUAAUUGCAUUUGAAAUAUUAUCACAAUUAUGUAAAACGCGAUUUGCUAAUAGCAUAGUGCUGUGUUCUGACUGGUCAUUGAGAGAGGAGAGGAGAGGUCCAGAGCAGGAAAUGACAUCAAUGCUGUAAUCUAAGCCUGCCACAGUGUGUGUGUGUGUGUGUGUGUUACCUAACAUGUUUAGGUGUGGGAGGGGGCGGCUCACCGUGUGUCUUCUGUCCUGUAUUUGGAUGUUUCAGCUGCCAUUGUAUGCUGGAGCGUGCAUGAGGAAGUUUCUGUGUGAGCCACGACGGCUGUCUGAUGCAUGCGGCCCAAAUAAAAGGGUUGACUUUGA